rnacentral:rRNA from 1 species
UACGAAGGGGGCUAGCGUUGCUCGGAAUUACUGGGCGUAAAGGGUGCGUAGGUGGUUCUUUAAGUCUGCUGUGAAAGCCCCGGGCUCAACCUGGGAAUGGCAGUGGAUACUGGAGAGCUAGAGUGCGGUAGAGGGUAGUGGAAUUCCCGGUGUAGCAGUGAAAUGCGUAGAGAUCGGGAGGAACACCAGUGGCGAAGGCGGCUACCUGGACCAGCACUGACACUGAAGCACGAAAGCGUGGGGAGCAAACAGG